rnacentral:rRNA from 1 species
GGACCUUACCUGGCCUUGACAUGGCAGGAACCCUUCAGAGAUGAAGGGGUGCUAGCUUGCUAGAACCUGCACACAGGUGCUGCACGGCUGUCGUCAGCUCGUGUCGUGAGAUGUUGGGUUAAGUCCCGCAACGAGCGCAACCCUCGUCUUUAGUUGCUAACAGUUAGGCUGAGCACUCUAAAGAGACUGCCUCCGUAAGGAGGAGGAAGGUGAGGACGACGUCAAGUCAUCAUGGCCCUUACGGCCAGGGCUACACACGUGCUACAAUGGGGCGUACAGAGAGCUGCAAUACCGCGAGGUGGAGCCAAUCUCUUAAAGCGUCUCUCAGUUCGGAUUGUUCUCUGCAACUCGAGAACAUGAAGCUGGAAUCACUAGUAU